rnacentral:snoRNA from 1 species
AUUCGGGUUGAUAACUAGGCGGCGGUUUCAAAUAUUCCUCGACGACCUCUGCCCUUUAAGUACCCGAAAGAUUGAAUUUUUGCGCGGUCGAUCUUACACAUUUGCUUUCGUUUCAACUAUGUUUGUACAUGUUUAUUCGGCCGCAACAUUC